CCUGGACAAGGAAGGAAGGUGAGACGUUCGCUGCUUCCCCAGGUACUGACGGACAAAGGUGGAAGGACAAGUGAAACGGGACUGUGUAACUGGCAUCGAGAAAACAGUUGUUGCCCCCCCCUUCCCACUCCCCCAGCAUGGCGCCUGACGAGUGGUCCGCCGCGCACGAGUCUCAGACAUAAACGAGGCCAGACGGACGAAGGGUUAACGAAGAAGUGUGAGGCGGGGGUGUUGCCGCGAAGGAAAUGCGUGAAAGGGACGCCCACGACACUCAACGUAAAACGAAAACAAAGUGAAAGGAAGAAACGAAAAUAGGAAAACAGUUGAAGUGGUUGUUUUAACUGAUCGUGCUUUGCAUUCAUUGACAAGUUGGUGAAGUAGCAGGGUGGUGCUUAGCGUCCCGACCCUUCAAGCAAUAUAAAAAAGAUAACUGUUUUGUGUAUGUAAUUUAUAAGGAAGGAAAUAUAACCGAGAUAAACAAAAUAAGUGAAUGUUUUAUCAUAACUGGACAAAAAAGAACAAUACAGAAAA